UAUGCAGAUUUCAGAAAGGAAGAAGAGGAACUAAAAUAAAGUGUCUACUACCACAGAAUUGCACGACUGAAGAUUUGAAGGUUCGUUGGUGGGCUUGCAUUGUGGUCCCUACCUAGUUCAUCAUCAAUAAAGAUACGUGUACAUCUAAGGACCUGAACCUAUAAUAUCAGGGCCCAACCAUGGAAAAGGUGAAUAUGAAAUCUUAUAUGUCUCACAUACUUUAGGGCUAGUGACCGUCUUUCCAUUUAUCCACAUGGCAGUUCUGUUUAUAUAAUAAUAAUAGUUUACUCUAGCCUCACCCAUCCAUGAAGGCAUUUGUUCUGAGUCAAAAGUAAUUUGCUAUUUACAGGAAGUAGUAUUACCCUGGUUUAUGAAGACAUUUUCACAACGUCUCUGGUGCGGGAUAAUUCUAUUCUC